AAGUCGAGCGAACUGAUUANAAGCUUGCUUCUAUGACGUUAGCGGCGGACGGGUGAGUAACACGUGGGCCACCUGCCUGUAAGAGUGGGAUAACUUCGGGAAACCGAAGCUAAUACCGGAUAGGAUCUUCUCCUUCGUGGGAGAUGAUUGAAAGAUGGUUUCGGCUAUCACUUACAGAUGGGCCCGCGGUGCAUUAUCUAGUUGGUGAGGUAACGGCUCACCAAGGCAACGAUGCAUACCCGACCUGAGAGGGUGAUCGGCCACUCUGGGACUGAGACACGGCCCACACUCCUACGGGAGGCAGCAGUAGGGAAUCUUCCGCAGUGGACGAAAGUCUGACGGAGCAACGCCGCGUGAGUGAUGAAGGCUUUCGGGUCGUAAAACUCUGUUGUUAGGGAAGAACAAGUACGAGAGUAACUGCUUGUACCUUGACGGUACCUAACCAGAAAGCCACGGCUAACUACGUGCCAGCAGCCGCGGUAAUACGUAGGUGGCAAGCGUUAUCCGGAAUUAUUGGGCGUAAAGCGCGCGCAGGCGGUUUCUUAAGUCUGAUGUGAAAGCCCCCGGCUCAACCGGGGAGGGUCAUUGGAAACUGGGGAACUUGAGUGCAGAAGAGAAAAGCGGAAUUCCACGUGUAGCGGUGAAAUGCGUAGAGAUGUGGAGGAACACCAGUGGCGAAGGGGGCUUUUUGGUCUGUAACUGACGCUGAGGCGCGAAAGCGUGGGGAGCAAACAGGAUUAGAUACCCUGGGAGUCCACGCCGUAAAAUAUGAGUGCUAAGUGUUAGAGGGUUUCCGCCCCUUAGUGCUGCAGCUAACGCAUUAAGCACUCCCCCUGGGGAGUACGGCC
rnacentral:rRNA from 2 species